AGUGAACGCUGGCGGUAGGCCUAACACAUGCAAGUCGAACGGCAGCACAGUAAGAGCUUGCUCUUACGGGUGGCGAGUGGCGGACGGGUGAGGAAUACAUCGGAAUCUACUUUUUCGUGGGGGAUAACGUAGGGAAACUUACGCUAAUACCGCAUACGACCUACGGGUGAAAGCAGGGGAUCUUCGGACCUUGCGCGAUUGAAUGAGCCGAUGUCGGAUUAGCUAGUUGGCGGGGUAAAGGCCCACCAAGGCGCCGAUCCGUAGCUGGUCUGAGAGGAUGAUCAGCCACACGGGAACUGAGACACGGUCCAGACUCCGACGGGAGGCAGCAGUGGGGAAUAUUGGACAAUGGGCGCAAGCCUGAUCCAGCCAUACCGCGGGGGUGAAGAAGGCCUUCGGGUUGUAAAGCCCUUUUGUUGGGAAAGAAAAGCAGCAGGUUAAUACCCCGCUGUUCUGACGGUACCCAAAGAAUAAGCACCGGCUAACUUCGG
rnacentral:rRNA from 1 species